rnacentral:rRNA from 1 species
CAGGACGAACGCUGGCGGCGUGCCUAAUACAUGCAAGUCGAACGGUCGUUUCUAUGGAAGCUUGCUUCCACUGAGAAGAUAGUGGCGAACGGGUGAGUAACACGUGGGUAACCUGCCCAUAAGAGGGGGGAUAACGAAUCCGGAAACGGGUGCUAAUACCGCAUAGUUUUCUUGAUCGCAUGAUUGAGAAAGGAAAGACGGCCUUUGUGCUGUCGCUUAUGGAUGGACCCGCGGCGUAUUAGUUAGUUGGUGAGGUAAUGGCUCACCAAGACGAUGAUACGUAGCCGACCUGAGGGGUGAUCGGCCACAUUGGGACUGAGACACGGCCCAAACUCCUACGGGAGGCAGCAGUAGGGAAUCUUCCGCAAUGGACGAAAGUCUGACGGAGCAACGCCGCGUGAGUGAAGAAAGGUUUUCGGAUCGUAAAACUCUGUUGUCAGAGAAGAACAAGUUGGAGAGUAACUGCUCCAGCCUUGACGGUAUCUGACCAGAAAGCCACGGCUAACUACGUGCCAGCCGCUGC